UAAGUAGGGACCGAGCGUUGUCCGGAUUCAUUGGGCGUAAAGAGCUCGUAGGCGGCCACUCAAGUCGAAUGUGAAACCUCGAGGCUUAACCUCGAGCCUGCAUUCGAUACUGGGCGGCUAGAGUCUGGUAGGGGGAUCUGGAAUUCCUGGUGUAGCGGUGGAAUGCGCAGAUAUCAGGAGGAACACCGGUGGCGAAGGCGGGAUCCUGGGCCAGUACUGACGCUGAGGAGCGAAAGCGUGGGGAGCAAACAGG
rnacentral:rRNA from 1 species